AAGUCGUAACAAGGUUUCCGUAGGUGAACCUGCGGAAGGAUCAUUACAACGUAUCCAAACGUAUCAACCAACCCCUGUGAACUUGUUGUCUCCCUUUGUAAUAGAGAUAGGAAAGCAUAUUGACGCAUGGAUGGUAGCCGAAAGCCGUUUUGUUCUGCAAGGAAUGAGAGGCGACUAGGACGCGUCAGUCGUGUGAUUGUAAAACGUAAUUCGCUGUCGAAAGAUAGUGUGGAUGUAACACGUCGCUUAUUACAAAGGCUUAUGUUCUCUAUGGAGCUGUACAUCCAUGAGUGAAGUAGAGAACGAUGUUUUUUAUUAUCAACCCUUUUCACCCAUUUUCCCAUCAGUUGAUUUCACUGUUGAUCGUUAUGAAAAUAAUGAUUACACGUUCUUAAUUGAACACAAAUACAACUCUUAGCAAUGGAUGUCUAGGUUCUC
rnacentral:misc_RNA from 1 species